GGAGAAAUGGCUUGUGGUCUUUAGCCAAAGACUAAGGAGAAAUCCUCCGACAGCUAAAAUCUGACGCCGCCCCUCCUGACCAGGUUGUUUUCUGAGGUUUUUACACAUUUCUCAACCUUUGACACUCAGUAAUAUUUCUUUCUUUUUUUUCUUGUUAGAACGAUUCGCAGCCAUAAACUACAUUUUUCCUUCUGGCAUAUCCUCGGCUACCUCACCGCCUGCCCUCCAUCUGUACAGCUUAGUGACACUACAUGACAGCAACCUACAGAACCCAGACUGUAGUCUCUACACAGGGUGAACCCAAACGGAUCCACCCAGCACCAGCAGGUAUUUCCUCCUUCAUGGCUCAGGUCAGACUGCAGCAAUGUGACCAGGCCAACCACACUUGGCAGCAAGACCCAAACACUCAUGAAUGAAUAUCCUGCAGAUGCUCUUCAUCCAGAACAUGAGCUAAACCCCCAGGAUCCCGAUCAAUGGCCGCCAUCGACUGCUAACAGCUUAAUCUACAGUAAACACCGGCAGCAUCACACAGGUCCAACGGUUUUCCACAUCACAGACCCCCAGCAGGAAAAUCAAUAUGUGGACGGAUCGGUCUGCUGCGUUUUGUUCUGGGAGCGUCAUAACGCUCUGAGCUCGACCCGAACGCACCGAGCCGUUGACGCGCUGCAGAUGGACAAAAUCAAUGAGGAAAAUACGGCAGCCUGUAGGGAACAAAUCAAUUAAAACACGCCUUUCUGUUGGUGCUGCACAUGCUGCUGGAAGAUAUUCAACUCCACCGCUUUACUCACAGAAAGAGCUAACAGUGAUGAAAAGAUAACCAAAUAUUAUUAAAGGUGAUGAAAACAUCUUGAUGACGGAGAAAGAGGAACCUUCAGUCCAGACCAGGAGCUGGACGGCUCCAUAAAACAAAAACCAUCUGCUAAGUGACUUUUCCUGUCUACUACAAUCUUCGUGGGAAGUUGUUCAUGUUUCCUCUGAGGAACGAUGAAAAGUUCCAGCAGCCAUUGUUUCGUCUCUCCAAAGCCAAGACACCAAACAACAAACAGCGAUCAGGACGCUUCCCCUCCUCAAGCGGCCGUGUCGUUUUAAUGAGUGUGAAAUGUGAGGAUGAAUGCGUUCUGUCAGAUACUGUGGAGCUAAUGACCAUGAGAACCGGCUGAAAGAGCGACGAUCCGGCAGAGGACAGAUUAGCACGUUCCUGUCCUGGUCACAAGUCAAAAGGACGGAGAACAAAAACGCUGCAUGCAUUAGAAACACAUCAACACCCCUCCCCCACUCUGACAGCCGUUGCUACGGGUUACCAUCACCUCCCGUCAAUCACUGCCCAGCAAACAAUGCUGCGAUUGGUGGGCUGAUGGACAGGGUCGCCAUGACAACACAAAGACCCGCUGAUGACUCAAUGCAGGGCGAGAGCGAGCAAGGUCCGGCUCCUGCGGGUCGAGACCCUGACGGUUUGGCCCCGGAUCAGCCGGUGAUGAGACCAACUGGACCGAACGGGAACGAUCAGACGGCAAGCGGCGACAUGCCAACGUGGUGCAACGUUUGGGAAGGCUUCACAGAGGCACAAACACUGGAGGAAGAAAUCCCAUCAUGUUUGUGACAACAAGCAUUGAUCACUCCCAGCUUACAGCAGGACGCCAGCGAUGAUGUCACUGACGAAGUCCAGACCCGACACCGGAUCAGAACCAAGCAGCUUCCAGGCCGGACCCACAGAGAGCUGCUGAGCCAAAGAACCGGGUUUGGAUUCUGUUCCCACAUCUUUACGCUCCGGAUUCCUCUGGUGAAGCUUCGUUCAAAAUGCUCCACAUGAGAAUCAUGAUUCUCAUCUUACUGCGAUUCAGAAUGUCCCAGAGUCCGUUUUAAAAAAUAAUCCGCUCUGUCGCCCUCCAUUUUGUAACUACGCGGGAUGUUCUGACAUCGCCAUGGAAACGGGACUGUCCAUUCUCCAUUCUGCAAAAAUGGAGAUUCAAUCUGCCUGUCUGAAGGAAAACAUUUGGACUGUUGUUUUCCCAGGAAGACCGACUCAGACCUGAGCUUCACGCUGUUCACAGGCGGCCAAAUGAAGAUGUAAAAGGGAAACCGAGGUACAGCGAGUCGAGCAGCAGAGCCGAGCUGCGCCGUUCACUGUGGGACCAGAAGGAGAAACUAAAACUAAAUGCUUGUGAAUGCAAAACAGGGCAGAUACCGACACCAGGUGAACUUCUCCAUCCUUCUGACUGGGUGAUAAACCAACACACUGCUAACACUCUGCUUCAGCUAAUCACCCAUAAUCCUCUGCUGCAUCACUGUCACAUGACCAAGCUCGUAACCCCGCCCUCCAGAAACACAAACAGCAACAAAAUGAGAGGGAAAAAUCAAAAACACAAGCCGGUGUCGAUGUGUUCAUGUUGAUCACUCCUGAUGUACCAACACUGAGGCUCACAGCAGCCGAAUGCCACCAAAACCCUUCACUGCCGUCUGAACGACCCGAUUCAGAUUUUUCACCCAAAAAUAAAAUCAGUUUUCGAACCGUC